rnacentral:rRNA from 1 species
GAUGAACGCUGGCGGCGUGCCUAAUACAUGCAAGUCGAGCGAACAGACGCGGAGCUUGCUCCUCUGACGUUAGCGGCGGACGGGUGAGUAACACGUGGAUCACCUACCUAUAAGACUGGGAUAACUUCGGGAAACCGGCGCUAAUACCGGAUAAUAUAUUGCACCGCAUGGUUCAAUAGUGAAAGACGGCUUUGCUGUCUCUUAUCGAUGGAUCUGGGCCGCAUUAGCUGGUUGGUAAGUUAACGGCCUACCAAGGCAACGAGGCGUAUCCGACCUGAGAGGGUGGUAGGCCACAUGGGAACGUGACCACCGUCAAUACGACUACGAGACGCAGCAGUAUGGUACCUGCCGCAAUGGUCGAAAGCCUUGCGGAGCAAGGCCGCGUGAGUUGUAAAGGUCUUCGGAGCGGAAUACUCUGUUUUUAGGGAUGAACAAAUUUGUAAUGAACCAUGGACGGCUUGACGGUACCGAAUCAGAAAGCCACGGCUAACUACGUG